CCUUAACGAUAGAUUACGAUUUAUGAGUGUUCACACAGAUUGCCAAGGUUGAAAAUUAAAGAGAAAAGAAGGUGUUUAACACCUUCGCCGUGUCCCGUUCGUCUAGAGGCCUAGGACACCGCCCUUUCACGGCGGUAACAGGGGUUCGACUCCCCUACGGGAUACCACUUCUUUAUGAAGUACAAAGGGUCGUUAGCUCAGUUGGUAGAGCAGUUGACUUUUAAUCAAUUGGUCGCAGGUUCGAAUCCUGCACGACCCACCAUUCUUUCCACUGAGAAUGGGUUUAUUUCUGAUAGAGUUAGGAAUGAAUUGAAAUACUAUGUGGGCGAUUAGCUCAGUUGGGAGAGCACCUCCCUUACAAGGAGGGGGUCACUGGUUCGAGCCCGGUAUCGCCCACCAUUUCAUAUGGAUAUACUCUUUAAAGAUUUUUGGAAGGAUUCCAAACCAGUUCAAGACAUUGACUUAGGUUCGGAUUUUUUUGUCUGAGAAUGCUUAAAAAGUAUUUUGUCAUUUAUAAAUUAAAUGGCGUUAUAUUGCUCUUUAACAAUUUGGAAAGCUGACUGAUUUAGCUUAAUUUAUCUUUACUUUUUAAAAGUAAAACAAAACAGCUCAGGCUGUAAUUAAGUUAAAUCAAAAUUUAAAAGUUCUUAAUAUCUUUUGUUUAUCUUUAGAUAAACAAAUUAAAAACACAUUCAAGUGUUCUUGUAUUUUGAAUCCGGCGAAAAACCAGAACUCUCAAUGAAGAGUUCAACCUUGGUUGCUGUUUUGUCUUCAUUUUUGAAAAGUGAAAGCAAACGUCCAUACGAAACCUCUUGGGGUUGUAU
rnacentral:tRNA from 1 species